rnacentral:rRNA from 1 species
CAGUAGCCGCGGUAAUACGAAGGGUGCAAGCGUUACUCGGAAUUACUGGGCGUAAAGCGUGCGUAGGUGGUUGUUUAAGUCUGUUGUGAAAGCCCUGGGCUCAACCUGGGAAUUGCAGUGGAUACUGGGCAACUAGAGUGUGGUAGAGGGUAGUGGAAUUCCCGGUGUAGCAGUGAAAUGCGUAGAGAUCGGGAGGAACAUCCAUGGCGAAGGCAGCUACCUGGACCAACACUGACACUGAGGCACGAAAGCGUGGGGAGCAAACAGGAUUAGAUACCCCCGUAGUCCCUGUCUCUUAUAC